UGGCCCACCCAUGGUUCCACACCGCGGGCUAGUCAUCUCGCCUAGGGUCAAUAUAAACUCACAAAUUACAUAUUAUUGUUUAUCAUAUUUUUAAAUUUGUUUGGCUAUCUCAUCUUACUCGCUGAUCUUCUAUUUAGGUACUCAUUCUCUGUUUCGAUUUAAUAGGUGAUUUGCGAGUUUAAGGACCAGUUGAUAUAGUUAAACAAGUUUGAAAAUCUAAAUAGAUGUCUUGCAAGUUUAGGAAUCGAGAUGGUAGAAACUAAUAUGUUUAAGAACCUAAACAAAUGACUUGUAAGUUUAGCGAACACGUUUGAUGGCCACCAAUAGACUUUACUUUUAUUUUAUUUAUUUUUUGUUUUCGACGAUCUUAGCUGCAUUGUGUGAACAUGAAUAUUAGAAAAAUGUAUGAGGUUAAUUUUUCAUGAGAAGCUAACUUAUCAUUCUCUCAUUUUUAAUAAAUGUUUUAUAGCUAACUCUUUUAACAUUAUUGAAGCUGCAUAGACCUUUAGCAGAUAUGUUCGCACAAGGGAACAAAAUAAGAAACGGGUAAC
rnacentral:lncRNA from 1 species